GCGGCAGUGGUGUAGGGGUUAACACUUAACCUUGCCAAGGUUAGACCUCGGGUUCGAUUCCCGGCUGCCGCA
rnacentral:tRNA from 1 species